GUUGUUAUGUAAGUCAUGGACACUGUUAACAUGUAGAUAAUGUAUAUAUUAACAUGCAUUUAUGCUAAUGUGUAAUUUUUCGUUUAAAAACAUGAAAUCUCAAUAUUUCUAGAUAAUAGUUACGCUAACCAGGAAUAUUGUACAAUGUUAAAAGUUAUUUUUAAAAUAUAGUAGAAGUCUUUGUUAAAAUUCUGUGUAUUCGGGUAUGUAUUUAAAUAAUAUUUUCAUGACAUAAAUAAUUUAACUGCAGUUCAAGAUUAGAUAAGAAUCCAUAUUUACCUUUAUGAAAAAUAUAAUGAAAAAAAAUACCGAUAAACACUCAUAAUCCAUGUCCAUGUCUGGUUUGUAUCAUGGACUCAGAACAGUAAAGCGCAGAACUGCCAGAUUUUAAUUACUUAUCAAAACUUAUAACUUAUGUUUUAUAAUAUGCUAAUCUGUAAUGAGUCCGUUGUUACUAGUGGUUUGUUAGGCACAAAGGUUGAAAAGCUAGUAAAAUUGUGAAAUUUCAAUUUCAAUUAAAUAACUAAAAUGGAAAAAAAACAGUUCUGUUG